GACGGAGGGUGCUAGCGUUGUUCGGAAUUACUGGGCGUAAAGGGUGCGUAGGCGGUUGUUUAAGUCUGUUGUGAAAUCCCCGGGCUCAACCUGGGAAUGGCAAUGGAUACUGGGCAGCUAGAGUGUGUCAGAGGAUGGUGGAAUUCCCGGUGUAGCGGUGAAAUGCGUAGAGAUCGGGAGGAACAUCAGUGGCGAAGGCGGCCAUCUGGGACAACACUGACGCUGAAGCACGAAAGCGUGGGGAAGCAAACAGGG
rnacentral:rRNA from 1 species